rnacentral:tRNA from 1 species
GCACCUGUGGCGGAAUUGGCAGACGCGCAUGGUUCAGGUCCAUGUGCUCGCAAGAGCAUAGGAGUUCAAGUCUCCUCAGGUGCACCA